AUGGUGCACACUGCAUCUUUCAAGACCUUUUUCCUCUCUAAUGCCAUUGCACUUUUCACUUCAUUGGCCGUGGUGGUGGUUCAAAUAACAGUUGUUAGAGGGGAGAUAAAGUCCGAGCGGAAGGUUGUGGAGGUGAUCAAUAAGAUGAUGUGGUUAGCCUCUGUCUGCACCUCAGUUUCCUUCAUUGCAAGCAUCUUAUAUAGUAGUUGGUCGGCGCAGUCAAUGGGCUGCAAUCCUUGUUACUGUUGUAGGGGCAAUUGUAAUGGGUGGUGUUCUUGGAAUAGGACACAGUCAUGGCGUCUUUCUGAUUCUGAAUCAGAAGAAGUAAAUCCAAUUUAUGCUAUUUAA